CAGUCGUACCGGCGGAUAAUCAGCCUUUCGGGUGCGAUUCUGUGGGGCGUGAGGAGCUUAACCGCCUUCGUGUUUUGCAUAUUCGUGCACAUUUGGUGUACUUGUCCGUGUGGUGGGUUAACAUCAAUUUUGGUCGUCAUAAAAUGACUGGAGGAAUGUAGCUUUGGGUCUCGUAUCGAAGUGUUAUAGCCUUGGAGAUGUGAUGAUCGGGAUU
rnacentral:rRNA from 1 species